UAGAAAUAUUUGGAAACAGCUGGGCGGAGACAGCGCCUCUCCAGGCCCCAUGUCCCACGGUGCCUUCUGGUUUCCCCUCACCUUGUACAGAAGUCGAUGUGCAUCUCUUGCUGAAAGUGGAGGAAAUAUGUUUAAUGCUGCUGGAUCCACCAUUCCAAAGCUGCCAUGACUUUGUCAGCCCCUUGUCCUACAUGGCCAGCUGCUUCAACGACAUCUGCUUGUCAGGUCCAACUGAUGAUGCGGUAUGUCAAGUGUUUACGGAGUACUCCCGAGCCUGUGCCCAUGCUGAUCAUCCCCUGAGCAGUUGGA